rnacentral:rRNA from 1 species
UGCAAGUCGAACGGGCCUUUUGGCUAGUGGCGGACGGGUGAGCUAACGCGUGGGAAUCUGCCCUCAGGAGGGGGAUAACGACCGGAAACGGUCGCUAAUACCCCAUAUGCCGAGAGGUGAAAUGAAUUUCGCCUGAGGAUGAGCCCGCGUCUGAUUAGCUUGUUGGUGAGGUAAUGGCUCACCAAGGCAUCGAUCAGUAGCUGGUCUGAGAGGAUGAUCAGCCACACUGGGACUGAGACACGGCCCAGACUCCUACGGGAGGCAGCAGUGGGGAAUUUUGCGCAAUGGGGGAAACCCUGACGCAGCAACGCCGCGUGGAGGAUGAAGUCCCUUGGGACGUAAACUCCUUUCGAUCGGGACGAUAAUGACGGUACCGGAAGAAGAAGCCCCGGCUAACUUCGUGCCAGCAGCCGCGGUAAU